rnacentral:tRNA from 1 species
GUGGGUAUAGCUCAGUGGUAGAGUGCAUGCUUAGCAUGCACGAGGUCCCAGGUUCAAUUCCCAGUAUCCCCA